UCAUAUGCUUGUCUCAAAGAUUAAGCCAUGCAUGUCUAAGUACGUGCCUAAGAAAGGUGAAACCGCGAAUGGCUCAUUAAAUCAGUUAUGGUUCCUUAGAUCGUACCUUACUACUUGGAUAACUGUGGUAAUUCUAGAGCUAAUACAUGCAGCAGAGCUCCGACCUUCGGGGACGAGCGCUUUUAUUAGACCAAGACCAAUCGGACCUCGGUCCGAAGCUCAUGGUGACUCUGGAUAACUUUGGGCUGAUCGCACGGUCUCGUACCGGCGACGCAUCUUUCAAGUGUCUGCCUUAUCAACUUUCGAUGGUAGGUUAUGCGCCUACCAUGGUCGUAACGGGUAACGGGGAAUCAGGGUUCGAUUCCGGAGAGGGAGCCUGAGAAACGGCUACCACAUCCAAGGAAGGCAGCAGGCGCGCAAAUUACCCACUCCCGGCACGGGGAGGUAGUGACGAAAAAUAACAAUACGGGACUCUAUUGAGGCCCCGUAAUUGGAAUGAGUACACUCAGCUCGUAGUUGGAUCUCAGUUCCAGACGGGGUGGUCCACCCCUGGUGGUUACUGCCUGGCCUGAACAAAUCCAGCCGGUUUUCCUUGAUGCUCUUCACCGAGUGUCUUGGGUGACCGGCACGUUUACUUUGAAAAAAUUAGAGUGCUCAAAGCAGGCGUGACGCCUGAAUAAUGGUGCAUGGAAUAAUGGAAUAGGACCUCGGUUCUAUUUUGUUGGUUUUCGGAACACGAGGUAAUGAUUAAGAGGGACAGACGGGGGCAUUCGUAUUGGGACGCUAGAGGUGAAAUUCUUGGACCGUCGCAAGACGAACUACUGCGAAAGCAUUUGCCAAGAAUGUUUUCAUUAAUCAAGAACGAAAGUUAGAGGUUCGAAGGCGAUCAGAUACCGCCCUAGUUCUAACCAUAAACGAUGCCAACCAGCGAUCCGCCUGAGUUCUUCUAUUGACUCGGCGGGCAGCUUCCGGGAAACCAAAGUGUUUGGGUUCCGGGGGAAGUAUGGUUGCAAAGCUGAAACUUAAAGGAAUUGACGGAAGGGCACCACCAGGAGUGGAGCCUGCGGCUUAAUUUGACUCAACACGGGAAAACUUACCUGGCCCGGACACUGGAAGGAUUGACAGAUUAAGAGCUCUUUCUUGAUUCAGUGGGUGGUGGUGCAUGGCCGUUCUUAGUUGGUGGGAGCGAUUUGUCUGGUUAAUUCGGAUAACGAAGGGGACUCUAGCCUACUAAAUAGGGGACCGAUCAAUUGUUGUCGGUCCGUCUUCUUAGAGGAACAAGCGGCUUUUAGCCGCACGAGACAGAGCAAUAACAGGUCUGUGAUGCCCUUAGAUGUCCGGGGCCGCACGCGCGCUACACGGAAGGAAGCAGCGUGCUCAUCGCUGUCCGGCAGGACUGCGUAACCCCUAUAACCUCCUUCGUGAUAGGGAUAGGGGCUUGUAAUUGUUCCCCUUGAACGAGGAAUUCCCAGUAAGCGCGAGUCAUAAGCUCGUGUGGAUUACGUCCCUGCCCUUUGUACACACCGCCCGUCGCUACUACCGAUUGAAUGAUUUAGUGAGGUCUUCGGACUGGCGCUCGGAGCGACCUUCGGGUUGCGCCGGCGUGCCGGAAAGAUGACCAAACUUGAU
rnacentral:rRNA from 1 species